rnacentral:rRNA from 1 species
UAUGGUCAAAUCACGCUGAAACACCGGUUCUCGUACGAUCACCGAAGUUAAGCAGCGUAGAGCCAGGUCAGUACUUAGAUGGGGACCGCUUGGGAACACCUGGUACU